rnacentral:rRNA from 1 species
UACGUAGGGUGCAAGCGUUGUCCGGAAUUAUUGGGCGUAAAGAGCUCGUAGGCGGUCUGUCGCGUCGGCUGUGAAAACCCGAGGCUCAACCUCGGGCCUGCAGUCGAUACGGGCAGACUAGAGUGUGGUAGGGGAGACUGGAAUUCCUGGUGUAGCGGUGAAAUGCGUAGAUAUCAGGAGGAACACCGGCGGUGUAGACGGCUUUCUGGACCGUAGCUGACGCUGAGACACGAAAGCGUGGGUAGCAAACAGG